GACGAACGCUGGCGGCGUGCCUAAUACAUGCAAGUAGAACGCACAGUUUAUACCGUAGCUUGCUACACCAUAGACUGUGAGUUGCGAACGGGUGAGUAACGCGUAGGUAACCUGCCUGGUAGCGGGGGAUAACUAUUGGAAACGAUAGCUAAUACCGCAUAAUAUUAAUUAUUGCAUGAUAAUUGAUUGAAAGAUGCAACUGCAUCACUACCAGAUGGACCUGCGUUGUAUUAGCUAGUAGGUGAGGUAACGGCUCACCUAGGCGACGAUACAUAGCCGACCUGAGAGGGUGAUCGGCCACACUGGGACUGAGACACGGCCCAGACUCCUACGGGAGGCAGCAGUAGGGAAUCUUCCGCAAUGGACGAAAGUCUGACCGAGCAACGCCGCGUGAGUGAAGAAGGUUUUCGGAUCGUAAAGCUCUGUUGUAAGAGAUGAACGGGUGUGAGAGUGGAAAGUUCACACUGUGACGGUAUCUUACCAGAAAGGGACGGCUAACUACGUG
rnacentral:rRNA from 1 species